CUAUAAUUCUAUAUCAAGUGAAAAGCUUUAUAGAAUUUUUCUUAAAUGUCAAACUUCCAUUCAGGAUGACAACUACCUUUUUCCUCCUCUUCCCACAGCCACUCCUACUGUCCCAGACCGUUCAGGUCUUGAGGAGCGUAGCCAGCGAAACCAAACUGGAUCAGCCCCGCUGGGAAGGCGGUUUCAUCAUCACCUCAUUUUACAGUACAACGGAUCUUUCUUUGAAGACUAGAGGCCUCUUAAAUGUUAUCAACAACAACAACAAAAUACCCAUUGCAUAAGCCUUGGACAACAAAAGCUUAAUUUCAUAUUAUAGGCACCUAAUGGGCAGUGUAAACGGUGAGAUAUAUCAGACAAUAGAAAGGAAGAGAUAUUUUUACUAUAAUGUCAA
rnacentral:lncRNA from 1 species